rnacentral:rRNA from 1 species
UACGGGGGGGAGCAAGCGUUGUUCGGAUUUACUGGGCGUAAAGGGCGCGUAGGCGGCCACCGCAAGUCGACUGUGAAAUCUCCGGGCUUAACCCUGAGAGGCCAUUCGAUACGGGCAGGCUAGAGGUAGGUAGGGGAAAGUGGAAUUCCUGGUGUAGCGGUGAAAUGCGCAGAUAUCAGGAGGAACACCGGUGGCGAAGGCGGCUUUCUGGGCCUUACCUGACGCUGAGGAGCGAAAGCUGGGGGAGCGAACAGG